UACAGAGGAGCCAAGCGUUGUCCGGAUUGACUGGGCGUAAAGCGCACGCAGGCGGACGCGCGCGUGGGGUGUGAAAUCUGGCCGCUUAACGGCCAGGCGCCAUCCCAUACGGCGGGUCUGGAGCUAUGCAGGGGAGAACGGAAUUCCUGGUGUAGCGGUGAAAUGCGCAGAUAUCAGGAGGAACACCCGUGGCGAAGGCGGUUCUCUGGGACGGUACUGACGCUGAGACGCGAAAGCGUGGGGAGCGAACAGG
rnacentral:rRNA from 1 species